GGAUCAAAUCCUUAAAGCCUGUCUCAGUUCGGACUGGGGUCUGCAACCCGACCCCACGAAGCUGGAUUCGCUAGUAAUCGCGCAUCAGCCAUGGCGCGGUGAAUACGUUCCCGGGCCUUGUACACACCGCCCGUCAAGCCAUGAAAGCCGGGGGCGCCUAAAGUCCGUGACCGUAAGGAGCGGCCUAGGGCGAAACUGGUAAUUGGGGCUAAGUCGUAACAAGGUAGCCGUACCGGAAGGUGCGGCUGGAACACCUCCUUU
rnacentral:rRNA from 1 species